CCUACGGGCGGCAGCAGUGAGGAAUAUUGGUCAAUGGGCGCGAGCCUGAACCAGCCAAGUAGCGUGAAGGAUGACUGCCCUACGGGUUGUAAACUUCUUUUAUAAAGGAAUAAAGUGAGGCACGUGUGCCUUUUUGUAUGUACUUUAUGAAUAAGGAUCGGCUAAAUCCGUGCCAGCAGCCGCGGUAAUACGGAGGAUCCGAGCGUUAUCCGGAUUUAGUGGGUUUAAAGGGAGCGUAGAUGGGGUGUUAAGUCAGUUGUGAAAGUGUGCGGCUCAAACGUAAGAGUGCAAUUGAUACUGGCAGUCUUGAGUACAGUUGAGGUAGGCGGAAUGCGUGGUGUAGCGGUGAAAUGCUUAGAUAUCACGAAGAACUCCGAUUGCGAAGGCAGCUUACUAGACUGCCACUGACAUUGAUGCUCGAAAGUGUGGGUAUCAAACAGGAUUAGAUACCCCAGUAGUC
rnacentral:rRNA from 1 species